rnacentral:rRNA from 1 species
UAGAGUUUGAUCCUGGCUCAGGAUGAACGCUAGCGGCAGGCUUAAUACAUGCAAGUCGAGGGGCAGCGCAGUGUAGCAAUACAUGGGCGGCGACCGGCAAACGGGUGCGGAACACGUACGCAACUUUCCUCUAAGCGGGGCAUAGCUCGGAGAAAUCCGGAUUAAUACCCCAUAACAUUGCAGGUAGGCAUCUACUAACAAUUAAAGAUUUAUCACUUAGAGAUGGGCGUGCGGCUGAUUAGAUAGUUGGCGGGGUAACGGCCCACCAAGUCUGCGAUCAGUAACUGGUGUGAGAGCACGACCAGUCACACGGGCACUGAGACACGGGCCCGACUCCUACGGGAGGCAGCAGUAAGGAAUAUUGGUCAAUGGACGAAAGUCUGAACCAGCCAUGCCGCGUGGAGGAUGAAGGUCCUCUGGAUUGUAAACUUCUUUUAUCUGGGACGAAAAAGGGACUUUCUAGUUCAACUGACGGUACCAGAUGAAUAAGCACCGGCUAACUCCGUGCCAGCAGCCCCGGUCAA